ensembl:lncRNA
UGUGGGCAUUGGGUUAGUGUGGGCAUUGGGUUAGUGUGAGCAUUGGGUUAGUGUGAGCAUUGGGUUAGUGUGGGCAUUGGGUUAGUGUGGGCAUUGGGUUAGUGUGGGCAUUGGGUUAGUGUGGGCAUUGGGUUAGUGUGGGCAUUGGGUUAGUGUGGGCAUUGGGUUAGUGUGAGCAUUGGGUUAGUGUGGGCAUUGGGUUGGUGUGGGCAUUUCAUUGGGUUAGUGUGAGCAUUGGGUUAGUGUGAGCAUUGGGUUAGUGUGAGCAUUGGGUUAGUGUGAGCAUUUCAUUGGGUUAGUGUGAGCAUUUCAUUGGGUUAGUGUGAGCAUUGGGUUAGUGUGAGCAUUUCAUUGGGUUAGUGUGAGCAUUGGGUUAGUGUGAGCAUUUCAUUGGGUUAGUGUGAGCAUUGGGUUAGUGUGAGCAUUGGGUUAGUGUGAGC